rnacentral:lncRNA from 1 species
AAAAAAUAGGAUCGAUUGGAGGUCGUCCGCUGGCGGUGGCGAUUUUCGACCGAUGACAUAGGGGCGGCGGGAGGCGGAUGGUUCUUGUGAGAGAGGAGAGAAUGAAGAGAGGAGUGAAAUAGAUAAUAGGGCAAAAUAAGGGAAAUUGUAGCUUCUUUAGGUGUUAAAUACUAAGAAUAAAGAUCAAAUUUGACCCCUUGGAUCAAGCGGCAAUGAAUUGAUGAGAUUAAAAUCUUUGUCACUUAACUAAAACAAUGUAAUUUUGAUAUAAAACUAUGUCGUUUUGACCCUCCAAUGGCAUCCCCAUUUGGGACCGGAUUUGGCCUCUUUGGGAUUCUAGUUUUGGGUCCAUUUUGGCUUAAUUUCAAUUGGAAUACUAGCCUAAUCCCUUAACCUCCCUAACUAUCUUAUUUAGUCCUAAAGAAAAUAUGCAAGUAGAAAUAAAAAAAAUCUUUUUGGUAUACAUAAUUUAAAGAUGCAAACUAAAAUAUACAAUAAAAGGUAAACAUAUUUUUGGUAUUUUUAAUAAAGGAAGGAAAAUAAAAUGCACAAAUAACAACAAAUCAUCCAAAUAUUAGUAUUUGUAGGAGAAUUAGAAGCGAGCAAAAAUUAGGUAUUCGCAGCUGUCCCUAUUUGCUCGACAACAUAAAAAGUUUUCGUACAAAGAAAAGUGAACGCUAUGGCUAAUUUUUGCCCACAUAUCACUCUAAUGAAAGCAUGUCUUGAAAAAAGUGAUCGAACCUUGCUUCUGCGCUUGCCUACAUAUCUUUGACUAUAAAGGAAUCAGGUCGGUGUAUUUUUGAGAAAAUUUGGCAGCUGGGACUACCAAACACUAGAGUUAAGACUGUUGUUGCUGUUGCUGUUACUCCCUUCUUACAUCAAAAGAAAAAGAGAAGAACUAUAUAUGUCUGCAAAUUAAGAGUACAAAAUUCCUAUUUAUGUGUCUUUUGGAGUCAAAUCUUGAUUCUUGACUUGCUCGCUUGUGUUGACCUUACAUUGGAUCUUGAUUCUCUUUGAAGAAAAGAUCAUGACUCAAUCUCGAUUGCUUGCUUUCUAGAUAGAAUUUGAGAAAAUGAAACUUGAGAAGCUGUGUUGCCGACACGUUGUCAAAGUUAACUCCAAUUAUCAUGUGAUCAUUUUUCUGAUGAUAACUGAAACUGCAAGUUUCGAUUGUCACAACCUGUGCUCUACGGCGAGGCCUGCAAAGCCAACAAAGACGAACAAAACGAACAAAAUUUUUCUGCCCCAGUCUAGAUCUAGAAAAAUUUUGUGAGUUAUCAAUGAAAGAUAUAAACUAUCUAAUUUAUUGAAAGGCAGAUAGAAAUAGUAGUAUAAACUAACUAAAAGAGAUAAAAUUUGUAACGAGUGAUUAUGUAACUAGGGAUCGGUACCCUGUACUACUGAAAGGAAAUGUAACCAGGGGUUGGACCCUAUCUUACUGGAAGGAAAUAUAAUCAGAAGUUAGCGCCAUGUAUUAUUUAUAAAGUGUUGAAUCCCUCCAGGUGAGAAGUUUCUACUUGAGUUAAACUAUUGUUUUGUACUUCCUCUCGGAUUUAUGAGCUGGAUCCCCCUAGGUGAAAUAGUUCUACCUGAGUUAAGCUAUAUUAAACAACCCAAGAAAAAAUCACUUAUACUUGGAACUAUGGGCUGGAUCCCUCUAGGCAAAAUAAUUCUACCUGAGCUAAGCUGUGUAAAACACCUUGAGCGAAGAGUACUUAUACCCGGAAUAUGAGCUGGAUCCCCGUAGGAGAAAUGAUUCUACCUGAGUUUAGCUACGUAAAACACCCUAAGUGAAGAGUACUUCUACCCGAAAAUAAAUAUGAGCUGGAUCCCCAUAGGCGAACGAUUCUACCUAAGUUAACCUGCAUAAAAUACCCUGAGCGAAGAGUACUUCUACCCGAAAAUAUGAGCUGGAUCCCCUAGGAGAAAGGAUUCUACUUGAGUUAAGCUGCAUAAAACAACCUGAGCAAAGAGUACUUCUACCCUAAACUAUGAGUUGGAUCACCCUAGGUGAAAUAAUUCUACCUGAGUUAAACUGCGUAAAAUAACCUCAGUGAAGAGUACUUCUAUCCGGAACUAUGAGCUGGAUCCUCCUAGGCGAAACAGUUCUACCGGAGUUAAGUCACGUAAAACAACCUGAGCAAAAUGUACUUCUACCCAGAACUAUGAGUUAGAUCCCCUGGGCGAAAUGGUUCUACUUGAGUUAAGCUAUAUUAAAUAACUUGAGUGAAGAUUACUUCUACUCGGAACUAUGAGCUGGAUCCCCCUAGGCGAAAUGAUUCUAAAUGAGUUAAGCUGCGUAAAACAACCUGAACGAAGUGUACUUCUACCCGGAACUAUGAGCUGGAUCCCUCUACGUGAAAUGAUUCUACCUGAGUUAAGCUACGUAAAAUAACAUGAGCGAAGUGUACUUGUACUCGAAACUAUGAGCUGGACCCCCCUAGAUGAAAUGAUUCUACAUGAGUCAAGCUACGUAAAACAACAUGGGCGAAGUGUAAUUCUACCCAGAAUUAUGAGCUGGAUCCCCCUAGGCGAAACAUUUCUACCUGAGUAAAGCUGCGUAAAACAACUUGAGCAAAUAGUACUUCUACCCGGAACUAUGAGCUGGAUCCCCUAGGCGAAAUGAUUCUACUUGAGUUAAGCUACGUAAAACAACAUGAGCGAAGUGUACUUCUACCCGGAACUAUGAGUUGGAUCCCUCCAAGUGAAAUGGUUCUACCUGAGUUAAGAUACGGAAAACACCCUGAGAGAAGAAUACUUAUGCCCGGAACUAUGAGCUGGAUCCCUCCAGGUGAAAUGGUUCUAUCUGAGUUAAGAUACGGAAAACACCCUGAGAGAAUAAUACUUCUACCUGGAACUAUGAGUUGGAUCCCCCUACGCGAAUAGUGAGCAUGCUGAAAAUAAAAGAAAAUGGAGACUUUAAGGAUCUUACAUUUGGUGUCAUUCGUUCUUUUAGAAUCGUCAACUCCGCCAAUGGCAAGAACUGUUAUUGUAAGCAAACUCUGCCAAUGGCAAGAACUGUUCCCAAGAUCCUCCAAACUCGAUCACAAAUGCACGGAGCAUAUCCUCAAGAAUCUAAAUAGUGUGCUCAGACUGCCCGUCCGUCUGAGGGUGAAAUGUGUACUCGACUCUACUAGAGUACCCAACUCAUGCUGAACGACCCUCCAGAAUCAUGAUGUAAACUGAGUACCUCUAUCUGAAAUGAUGGAAACUGGAAUACCAUGCAGACGAACGAUCUCCCGGAUAUAAAUCUUUGUCAACCACUUCGAAGAAUAAGUAGUACACGCAGGAAUGAAAUGAGCGGACUUGGUCAGCUGAUCCACAAUAACCCAAAUGACAUCAAACUUCUUCAAAGUAUGUGGGAGCCCCGAUACGAAGUCCAUGGUGAUCCGCUCCCACUUCCACUCCAAAAUCUCUAUCUGCUGAACUAAUCCACCCGCUCUCUGGUGCUCAUACUUCACCGGAUGACAGUUGAGGCACCAAGCUACAAACCCAAUUAUAUCUUUCUUCAACUGCCUCCACCAAUAGUGUUUCCUCAAGUCCUAAUACAUCUUCGCGGCAUCCGGAUGAAAGGAACAUGCGAACUGCGGGCCUCAUCUAGAAUCAGCUCCCUAAGCCCAUCAACAUUGGGCACACAAACCCGACCGUGCAUCCUCAACACUCCGUCCUCUCCAGUGGUCAUAUCUAUGGCAACACCAUGUUGAACCUUGUCUUUAAGAACAAGAAAAUGAGGGUCAUCAUACUGCCACUCCGUGAUACGAUCGAAUAAAGAAGACUGAGAAACCAUGCAAGCUAGAACCCGACUAGGCUCCGAAAGAUCCAAUCUCACAAACUGGCUAGCUAAGGCCUGAACAUCCAUUGCCAUAGACCUCUCUGAUGCUGGUAGAUAAUCAAACUCCCCAAACUCUAUGCCAGGCGACUCAAAGCAUCGGUCACCACAUUGGCCUUGAUUGGGUGAUACACAAUAGUAAUGUCAUAAUCUUUUAGCAACUCUAACCACCUCCUCUGGCGCAAAUUUAGAUCCUUUUGCUUUAAUAAAUACUGCAAGCUUGAUGAUCAGUAUAAAUCUCACAAGGCACACCGUAUAGAUAAUGGCGCCAAAUCUUCAGGGCGUGAACAAUGGAAGCUAGCUCAAGAUCAUGGACAUGAUAAUUCUUCUCAUGUAUCUUCAACUGUCUGGAUGCAUUGGCAAUCACCCUACCGUCCUGCAUCAAUACCGCUCCAAGGCCAACUCUCGAGGCAUCACAAUAGACAGUAUAAGAUCCUAAACCUGUAGGCAAUAUCAAAACCGGGGCUGUAGUUAAAGCUGUCCUGAGCUUCUGAAAGCUUGCCUCACAAUCUUCCGUCCACUGGAAUGGAGCACCCUUUUGGGUCAGUCUAGUCAUAGGGGCUGCAAUUGAUGAAAACCCUUCCACAACGGUAGUAACUUGCUAACCUAAGGAAACUGUGGAUCUUCGUAGCUGAGGACGGCUUGGGCCAACUUUGCACUGCCUCUACCUUCUUCGGAUCAACCCGAAUACCCUUACUCGAUACCACACGGCCCAAUAAUGCCACAGAAUCCAACCAAAACUCACAUUUUGAAAACUUUGCAUAUAAUUUCUUUUCCCUCAAAUUCUAAAGCACUGUCCUCAGGUACUGGUCAUGAUUUUCCCGAAUUCGGGAAUAUACCAAAAUGUCAUCAAUAAAGACAAUGACAAAAGAGUCAAGAUAUGGCCGAAAUACACUGCGCAUCAAAUGCAUAAAAUAUGUUGGGGCAUUGGUUAAACCAACUGACAUAACAAGAAACUCGUAAUGACCAUAUCGAGUCUUAAAAGUUGAUUUUAGGAUAUCUGGCUCCCAAAUCUUCAACUGAUGGUAACCUGAGCACAAAUCAAUCUUAGAAAACAGUGUACCCUGAAGUUGAUCAAAUAGGUCAUCAAUACGAGGCGAAGGAUAAUGGUUCUUCAUUGUAACCUUGUUCAACUGGAGAUAAUCAAUACACAUACGCAUAUAACCAUCAUUUUUCUUUAUAAAUAAGAUGGGAUCACCCCAAGGUGAAAAGCUGGGCCGAAUAAAACCCUUAUCAAGCAAUUCCUGCAAUUGAUCCUUCAACUCACAAGAAGCCAUAUGAUACAGAGGGAUGGAAAUGCGUUGAGUGCCUGGCAACAGAUUAAUACCAAAAUCAAUAUCUCUAUCUGGCGGCAUGCCUAGAAGUUCAGGUGGAAACACAUCGGGAUAAUCUCGUACUACUGGGACUGAAUCAACUGAAGGAGUAUCAAUGCUGACAUCUCUCACAUAAGCUAAAUACAUGUCACACCCCUUCGCAACCAUACUCUGAGCCUUAAGGAAAGUAAUAGCUCUAUUGGGAGUGUGAUCUAAGGCACCCCUUCACUCAACAUGCGGUAAACCUGGCAUAGCCAAGCUUGGCAUGACAAUCAAGAAUAGAAUAAUGGGGCAAUAAAAGGUGCCCAAGAUAAUAUCAAAGUCUACCUUGAUGAGCAAUAAUAAAUCCGCUCUAGUCUCAAAACCACUAAGAGCAACCAAACAUGACCGAUAAACGCAGUCCACAACAAGAAAAUCUCCCACAGGAGUAGAAACAUAGACAUGGGAACUCAAAGAAUCCCGAGAUACACCUAAGUAUGGAGCAACAUAAGAAGACACAUAAGAAUAAGCAGAGCCUGGAUCGAAUAGAAUCGAUGAUCUCUAUGACAAUCUAGAGUAAUACCUGUGAUGACAUAAUCAGAGGCAACCGCCUCGGUACAAGCAGGAAUAGAAUAGUAUCGGGCCUGGACUUAGGGCGACCUCUGCCUCCCCGACCUCCACCUCUAGUUGGAUGAGUAGGUUGGGUAGCAACUGGAGCUAUAACCAUAGCCUGAGAAAUGUGCGGGGCACGCUGUGGCUGAGAAAUCUAUAAAGGUGCACCCCUCCCAAAUUUAGGCAAUCCCUGACAAUAUGGCAUGAAUCACUACACUCAAAACAAGCUCUGGAGGAUGGUGGUUGUGACUGGCUCGGGCCAGGUCUGCUGGAUUGACCUUUGAACACACAUCGCGAAUGAGGCGUGCUAGAAACUGGAGGUGCAUAAUAAGGCUCCUGGGAUCUAGGAGUAGCUCGAGAACUAUUGGCUAGUGGAAGAGCCGUAUGAACAAGGCAACUCAUACAACCCCUACCAUGACAACCUGCAACUGGGGUACGGGCACCACAAUAAUGGCCUGACUCUCGAGACUUAUUGGCCUUCCUAUCCUCUCUCUCCCUAGCAUGCAUACCCUCAAUCCUCCUAGCAAUGCUCACCACCUGCUGAUGAGAAAUAUCCAUCUCCAACUAAUGAGCCAUGCUAGAUCUGAUGCUGGGAAUAAGGCCCUCAAUAAACCGGCAAACCCUCUCGCAUACAGUAGAAACCAAGGCUGGUACAUGCCUUGCUAAACUAGUGUAACAGACAACAUACUCUAAAACGGUCAUAACACCCUGGCACAAAUGCUCAAACUCUAUGCACCAUGCGCCUAUGAGGCUAUGAGGAACAUACUCUUUUAGGAAUAGAUCUGAAAACUGAGCCCAAGUCAGUGAAGCAGCCUCAUUUGUUCUGUUUAGCUCAUAGGUGCGCCACCACUCAUAGGCAACCCCUCGAAGCUGGAAGGUAGUGAAAGAAACCCCGCUAGAUCUUGAGAUACAUAGGGUAUGGAGAAUGCGGUGACACUCAUCGAGAAAUCCCAAAGCAUUCUCCAAUGCUAGACCACUAAAUACAGGAGGCUUGUACUUCUUGAACCUCUCAAGCCUCAACUGCUCUUCUUUGGAAGUCGCUGCCCUCCCCUCGGGCUGUACUGGCGUUACAUGCGGUACAAUAAUAACCUUGGGAGCUUGCUCCACAUGCAAUCACUGCUAAGGAGUGCGAGAGGCAGGAGUCUGUGCUUCUCCCCUAGCAUAGGAUUUGGUUGUAUCAAGGGGAAGCAACCCUGCCUGAGCCAAGGUGGUGUACAUGCUCAUGAACUGUGCCGGAGUCUCUUGAAGAGAUAUAGUAGUAGUAGAAGUAGUAGGCGUAUCGGUGCCUGGACUCCGGCUGGAACUGCUGGUGGCACCUCGACGGCCGCUCGCACAGGUGCUCUGGAUGCACCACGUGCGCGUCCUCGGCCUCUAUUGUGGCCCCAGUCUCUGGCUGCGGUAGGGGGCGUAGGUGCCUGAUUAUCUCGAGUAGCAUGUGUCUGUCGACGUCCCCUCUUUCUUAGAGUUGAAAUCAGGUUCACGACAUUUGGGAGGACAACUCUAUUUCCUUUCGAGAAUUGGGUUUUGGAAUUGGACAGCCGCCACCUAGUAAUUAUAGUGCAUUAGGACACUUUAAGAAGGGUUUGAGUUGAAGAAAUCAAAGUUUGGGUAAGGGCUAGAAAUUAUCUCUACGGGAAGGUGUUAGGCACCCUUAGAGAUCCACUAGUGUGGUCCCCAUCAUGUUACAAUUGUGAAUUUACAAAUAAGCAAUCAAGGCUCAAAUAAGGACUUGCAAUUAAAUUAAAACUUGUGAAGGUAAGUAGAGAGAGAGUAGAAAUUUGAAAGGUCUAAACAAUUCUAAAGAAAGCGUACGAAGACAAACAAAGGAAAAAGGGGUCCUAGGUUUAUGAUUAAUGUGGAUCACGUCAAUGCAAUAUCCAGUUUUCACUCCUCGGAAGAGGGGCUACAUGAGAUAUUAGCGCAUCGGUCAUCAUUUCCAAUUUCUAGCCUUCCUACCCCGUAAAGGUUAUAUAAACGCGUGGUUGGUCACGAAUGCUUAUUGUGUGCUAUUACCCUUCCCUCCAUAAGUCCUAGAGGGUAUUUUAGACCAACUAUUCCUAUAGGGAAGGACUAGGCUGAGCCCUUAGGUUUAAGGGACAAAAUGCUAGGCGCCAUACAUAACGAGUAGGAGUACACAUAAAGGGAUCAGACAAGGCAAAUAAGAGGUUCAAAAUACCUCCACAAGUAAACAUGUAGUUAUCACGUCUUCCACAUUUAUGGUCUAAAAAAUAGAAGUAAAAAGGAUGACGGAAAGAGGGAAGAUUCAGUGAAAAGCAGAAGGUUUAACUAAAACAGAGUGAAGAAUUUCAGAAUUGUAACUAAAGAGGCAGUGAGUAUAUAACAGUUUAGGAAUUAGUAAAGUAUAGCUAAACAUGUUGAAACACACUUUGAAAAUAUAGUAAUGAUAUUAAAGAUGCAGUAAAAUAUCACGAUUCUGGAUAGGCAAAACAAUCCAGUAGAAGACAUUAUAAAACUGAUACCCAGUUCCGAGAUUAUGUCAAAACAGGACGGGAGUUUUAAUCAAUUUGUAAAAGUGGAGAUAAAUUUGUCAAAACACACUUAGAAAAAUGCAGUAGUGAUAUUAAUGAUUCAAUAACCUGAAAAGACAUAGAAUAAAUUAAAGUAGCACGAGUCCGGAUAAGAAAAUGACCCAGUAGAAAUGUGAAAAAUUAGAUGCACGGUUCCGAGAUUAUUUCAAAAACAGGACGAGAGUUUUAAUAGAAAACAGAGUAAACUUUAGCGAAACAAACAAGGAACGGAGUUCAGUAGUUUUAAAAGAGGAUGAGUAGCCUGAAAACUUGCAAAACAAAAUUAAUCAAUUUUUAUUAGGCCUGAAGCUUGCCUAGGCGUAGUAUGUAUUGCCUACUUAACAGGUGAACAUGCAUAUUAAUCCAAUUUUAAGAAGCCGAUGCAGUUUAACCCAAAACUUGUGUUGUUAUUGAACAACUUGGAGAGGCAUUCAGCAAAUUGCAAAUCAGACGAAAAUAUAAAUCCUAAGUAACAUGGUGUCUAAUGCACGUAAGAGUCCUAAAACAUGGUCUUUAAAUGCUAGUGAAAGUACAUCAGUAGUUUUAACAGUUACUUAUUAGUCCAUUGUGAUUAUGGAAAGCGUAUGAUAACAAGCUGAAAGUGAAGAGUCUAAAACAUGAUUACCACUAUAUGAGAUGCAUAUCCUAUACAUGAUGUCUAUUGCACAAAUAGGUAAGUAAAGUCUUAUAAGCUUGUUUUCUACCCAUUAUUUAAGCCAAGCACGCGCAACCCCCUCCCAAUUUCACUAUAACCCCAAUCAAUUGUUUACAAAUUAUUACAAAUCGUGAUAACUGAAUUACAUAAGUAAAGAAAAAUAAGAAGUUACUCAAUAUGGAGCCUUCAACUAGGCCCAAUUCUUACAACCUCGCUUUUUUCGAGUUUCACAACCUUUGCCAUGGUCUAGGUGCGGCAAAGCUCCCUAGGGCCUUGGACAAUACUAGCACCUAGACAUUUAAAGGAAUGCAGGACAAAUGGAAUACCAUCCUUGUGUGUCAAAGUUCAGUGAGUACUCAGAGGUACUCAAAGCAAUGCUCACACGAAAGGGGCGGAACCUAUUCUCUAAGAGUAGUGUGAAGUGCAGGAAGAAGUAUUUUUAAAAGAGUUUUCAAAAAACAACAAGGGAUUUGUUCGAAAAGAAAACAACAGAAACGAUAGUUUAUCAGUACAGAAUUACAUACAAGGAUCAUGUAGAAAGGGGAACAGAUAGAUCACACAAUGCUAAAGGAGAUACAAAGGUUUAAUGAACAUGACUACACAGAAUCAGGAGGUUCAGGGAACUGGGAAGUAGUAAGGUUUAGGCAUGCUAAGGUCUAACAAUAGGACACAUGCAUAGCAAGUAAAGUUAGGGAUAGACAAAGUCAUAAUACAGAGUUAGCAUGUAAAUCAGUAGACAUGGUGAAGUAUUAAAGCAAAGAAUCAAUUACACAUUGAGCAGGAGAAACUUAAAUAGAAGAAAAUAAAAAAUAUUAUGAACUGAAGCAAAAGUGAACACAUUGGUUGGAGACUAGAAAAUAGUUCCAGAGAACAACCUGGGAUUUUGUUUUAUGAAAAACAAGUUUGAAAAAGGAAGGAAAUAGGACAAUCAUGACUUAGAAGAUAUGCAGAGUUCUGGAAGCAAACACAAGUAGGGAUAGGGACUAGGGGUAAAUGAAUCACAUAGUAUAAGCUGCCUUAUACAUAAUUAAUCCUUAGGCUAGAGUUACAACAUAGUUAUCACAUAAUGUGCAUGCCAAGAGUCCAACAGCAUCAGGUGUCAAACAGAGUCACACAUUAGAUCUAGGAUUAGAAUCAUAUAACACUUAGGUGUUAUGUUAGGCAGAGGAUGAAAACAUAUAAGAAAACAUUGGCCAUGCUAAGAUAAGAGGAAAGAUAAUCACUUAGACAAACAAGUAUGCUAGCUUCAUAGGAAUCAAACAGAGUCAUAGUGGAUCACACAAGGGAAAUCAAGAGACAUAUUAGACUAAAGGGAAAGGGAAAUCACAGAGACAUGCUAGUUACAUGGUAAAAAAUAGAACCAUAAGUAAAAUCACAAAAGGAAUAACAAGAAUCUUAGUAUGAACUGAAACAUGUUGUUUUCGGAUACUGUAAACUUAAACUAGAAACAUAUCAGUAAAGAGUGAGAAUAGAACUGCAGGGUGCAGAGAGGUAGAGCAACCGAAUAAUUGCAGAACAAGAAAAAGAGCAGCAGGACAAUAGUGUGCAGAUGCAAGAGGGCAACAGUAAUUACUCAGUAUCGGUUUUCAGCCAACUGAGUAAUCAGUAACUAAUACGAGAAGCAAAAGAGAAUAUGUAUGAGAGUAAGAGAGAACUUAGAACAAUAUCAAUAUUGUUUGUGUGAAUGUCUUAGUGAUAUUUCUUGUGUUAUGCAAAAGAGAAUAGAAUAUUUUAAUGCUGAAAACGAGUAUGAAAAAUAAGGUAAGGAGUACUAAUUUUUACAUAAUUAUGGAAACAAUGAUCAAUCAACAUCAAUUAAAGACACAGACUCCUUUGAUUAGGGAAUAAGGUUCAAAAGGUACAAUCAUAUCUAAAUAAGGAAAAUGAAUUAACUCAUAGACUAAUUUUAACCCAAUUGGAGCAGUAACUUCAUGUGGCAUAUAAUAAAGGCCAAAUACAUAAUGAUUUAAACAAGGAAGAUAUGUAUUGCACAUAAAUAAGGUAGAAUUCAAUCCAUUUUUGAAAAAUCAACCAGAGUACCACAGAGGAGACUGAAAAUCUCAAUAAAUUGGUGCUAAUUAGGGAAAGCAUCUCACAAAUAAGGAAGCAAUUAAAAAAACAAUACAUAAUUAUAGGAGAAACACAUAAAAGCAUAUAUUCAACGAAAUAUCAUAGUUUUGCGGAAAGAUGCAUAGAAUCGAUGGGUUCUUUAAGUAAACAAUUAGUCAGACCUAAUAAUCAUUAAAUAGCACUUAAAUCAGAUAAGCCCUAAACAGGGGGUCAUAGAAUAGUAGAAGGCUGGAAUCCUAAUAGCAAAAUUAAAGCAUAGAACUUGGAGAGUAACCAAAAGAUCACACAAACAAGCACAUAACACAAACAUAAACACAUAAUACUAAAAAAAAUUAGAAGAUAUAGUGAUUUCGAAAGGGGUUCAGAAACCCUAGUUUUUAAAAGAAGAACAAAACGUUGAAAACUUGAGCAACCAAAGGAAUCAAGUAGAGAGUAGUGUAAAAAACAAAAGAAUAAGUUAAAAAUCAUUUUUUAAAAGAUAGAGAUUAAGAGGUCUAGGUAGAAAUUAGGGUUUCGUAAUAAACCAGUGAGAAGCAAGGAACCUAGAUGUGAAACUCGUUAAUAAUGAUGCCCGUAGCAUCGUCGGGCCAUAACCCAUCAGAGAAAGAUAGGAGACAAGCCAUGCAAAGCUUCCGAUGACCAUCUUGUAUGGUGGAGGCUUAUAGAGUCUUGAAGAUAGAGGGAAUCAAUGAGACGAGGUCUCACGUCCACUGGUGGUCGAGAGAAAUGAGACUGGAGGUGGCCGGAGAGGCAGUGGCUUCAUCAGAGACGAGAGAGAGAACCAGAAGGUUCUAGAGAGAAGGGAGAGCAAACGUUAGCAUAGAUAGAUAGAGAGAGAGAGAGAGAGAGAGAGAGAGAGAGAGAGAGAGAGAGAGAGAGAGAGAGAGAGAGGUCGUCACUGAGGUGAGGGGUUUGGGAGGGGGGGUUUUUAGAUUUUAAUUUCGAAAAUAGAAUCUGCGCCGUUGAUCUCAUUUGAUUAACGACUCAGAUCAUAUCAAGGCUGGACCAAGUCGUUGAAUCGGGUAUGGGUCGGGGGAUUUAAGGUUUAAAUUGUGGUUCAAUUUAGGCUGUAAUCGUAAUAAAUCUGGCUAGUAUUUAAUAGCCACUUUUCCCCCUUUUAUUUUAUAAAUAUAGUGAAAAAGAUUUUAAAAAUAGAUUAAAAACACCAAAAUAAUUAUAAUGUAUAAAUAUAAUCUAAAAAUACUGGAAAUGAUUUUAUAAUUAUAAAAAUGUAAUUAAUUGUAAAAUAUUCUAUAAUUGUAAUUAUAUAUUAUUUAGCUUUAAUAAUAUCAAAUAAAUAUAUAAAAAUAUGCAAAAUUUAUUUAAACUAUUUUUUAAUAUAAAUAUAAGAGUAAAAUGAAUUAUUCACUAAAAUGAAUAAUUAGUGAAUUUUGUAGUAUUAAAAUAGACAGUAAAUUGGUUUUAAAAAAUCUGUAGAAAUUUAGAAAAAUACCGAAAUACUUGGGUAUGCUCAUAUAUGCGCAUAUAUGUUAUAUUGAAAGUGUUUUGGGUAUAAAAAAUACCUCGGAGAAAAUUGGGUAUCAACAGUAUCCUCACCAUCUGUGAGAGAAUAGAAGGCAGAAGUUUAGCAUUGUGAUAUCAAAAUAUCGCACGAAAUCAAAUAAAGUGAAAAUUUUCCUAACAGUUACAUAGCCUCUCGUAGAUAAGUACAGAUGUCUCCGUAUCGAUCAGCGAGACUCUAAUAAAUCGACUUGUGAUCCGUGACUCCUAUGAACCUAGAGCUCUGAUACCAAUUUGCCACGAUCCCAGUUCGCCCUCCUUGAACUGUCGUGACGGCACCUACUCUCUAUGGAUAGGUGGGCCCAAGUUUCGAAAGUAAAACAGUUUAAAAACAAAAAUAAAGCAUUAAUAGUGUCUAAAUGUUCCGCUCGGCCAACACCAUAUAUAAAACUCAAAGCCAAUAUCCAAAUCCAAGACCCGGAAACCCACGAAUCACAAGCUAAGAUAAAUGCUGCAUAGCUCUAAACUCCGGAAUAUCUAACAAUUGAAAAGUACAGAAGGCUAACUACUAAAGAAGGAAUAGAAAGGGACUCCUUGGUCUGCGGACGCGGCAGAUGUACCUCGGAGCCUCUAAGCAGUCACCUCCCUUAAGUAGGGUACGCCUGAUCAGCGGUAUCUGGAUCUGCACAUGAAAAAAAAUGUAGAAAGGGCAUGAGUACACUAUAACGGUAUUCAGUAAGUGCCAAGCCUAACCUCGAUCGGGUAGUGAUGAGGAAGGUCAGGGCCCUACUGAGAUUAAAUAAAAGUUAUAAUUAAAUAGUAUAGAACAAAUAGUUUAACAUGUGCACUAAUUAAAUUAACAUAGUAUAUAUAUAGCAUCAACAAUUACACAGUACAUGUAGAGACAAUUUAAGCACUGAAGGGAAAAUGCAGCUCAGUUCCAAUAAUACCAACCGGUGAUUUACCAGGAUACUGUCUUAAAGUCCCAAUUAUAACUGUCUAGUGGAUCUCCCGAGAUACCGUCCUGUAGUCCAUUAUAUAUAUGUUUGAAGAUUCUCCUAGGAUCCCGUCCCGUAGUCCAACUAUCAAUUCCUGGAGAUCUACCAGGAAUAUAACCCGUAGUCUCAAAUGUAAAUACCCAAUACAAACACACUCUCGUAGUUCCAUAUAACUGCACAUGGGGAUCUAUCAAAAAUCUAACAUGCAGUCCCAAUGUAAAGGUGCAGGGGGGAUCUAUCGGGAAUCUAACCCAUAAUCCCAAAGUAAACCGAGAAGGAAGAGCUACCGGAAUUACACAUCCAUAGUCCCAAUAUAAAUACACAGCAAUAGCAAGAAAAUAUUCAAAGAAGGGAAAUGUCAUAUUAAGGCAACUAAUAGUUCUAGCCUAGCAUGCUGCAUAGAGUUUAGGUAAACAGAUUGAACAAUUAAAGCAAUUGAAUCACUUAGAAAUGCUUUCCUAAGCUAACACUAGAUUAAAUAAUAUAAGUAAUAAAAGCAGGGGAAGGAACAAACUAAUAAGUGCUUAAAGAAAAAAACCGUAUUUCCAACAAUUUGCACAAGUAUGCACUCAUCACUCACGUACAAGGCAUUUCAAUUACCAAACAUAUCAAAUCCUAAGGGGAAGGUCCCCCACACAAGGUUAGACAAGCCACUUACCUCGAACCGGCUCAAAUGAACUUGAAACCACACUUUUUCAUGAAAAUCCGAAUUCAAAUGGCCCAAAUCAAUUCAAUUCAAUUGAAUAUUGUAAAUACACCACAAGUAACUAAUUCAACAAUUAAAGUCUAAGCUAAUAUGCGAAAUUAUGUAAAAUAACAUAAACGCGCCUCAGGCCCACGUCUCGGUUUUGGGUGAAAUUUACAUUUUCAGAAACCUCAUACUCUCACGAGUCAAUACAUGAUAAGAACAUUGAAAUCGGAGUCCAAAUGAUCCCUCAAUUCCUCAAUUCAUCAAUUAAAUGUCUCUUAAACUUAAGCCCUAAUUACCCAUUAUUCCCAAAUUUCUCACUAUUAAUUAGGUCUUUAAUCAUAUGAAAAUGUGUUAUGAAGUCAAGGACGUUACCUCCAAGCGAUUUCCCUUUUGUUUCCUCAAAAAUCCCUCUCAAAAGCUUCAAACUCGGAUAAAAAUGGUGGAAGAAUAACUAAAUUUCACAAAGGCAACUAUUUAUACUCUCUGUCCAGCGACUUUCGCAUUUGUGACCCUGGGACCGCAUCUGUAGUCUCGCUUUUGCUGAACAAGUGUCGCAUCUGCGACUUUCCUUUAAGUGACCAGCAACCGCAUCUGCGAAUGCCUUUUCGCAGAUGCGAAACCGCUUCUGCGGUCUAACUUCCGCAUCUGAGGUACCUGAAGGCAAGGCAAGAAUCCACUUUCGCGGUCCUCUGCACUACUUCUGCGGCUCUGCACCUGCGAAACCCAAAUUGCAGUUGUGGUUAUGAUAGGUACCAGCUGAACCAGCAAUCUCUUAACUUCAAAAUCCUUUUGUUAUCCAUCCAAAAUCAUCCCGAGGCUCCCAGGACCUCAACCAAAAGCACCAACAUCUCCUAAUACCUCAUUCAAACUUGUACCCAUACAUAAAACACCCAAAACAACAUCGGAACCAUGGAUUAACCAAGGAUUUAAGCCUAGGAAUUCCAAAAUUCUCAAAAAUACGCUUUCAAUAAAAAAACCCAACCAAACCACAUCCGAAUGACCUGAAAUUUUGCACACAUAUCCCAAAUGACACAAUAGAGCUAUUGAACUCUUGAAAUUUUGUUCUGGUCCUUGGAUCAAAAUCUCACAAUCGAAUCAGAAACUUCAAAAAUUCAACUUUUGGCACUUCAAGCCUAAAUUAGAUACGAACCUCCAAAACACAAUCCAAACACGCUCCUAACCCUGAAAUCACCCAACAAAGCUAACAGAACCAUCGGAUUUCCAUUCUGAGAUCGUCUUCACACUGUUUUGAUUACGGUCAACUUUCCAACACAUAAGCACUCAUUUAGGGACUAAGUGUCCCAAAACUCUUCGAAACUUAAAACCAAACAUCCCAGCAAAUAAAAAUAGCAGAAAUAGACUUAUGGAAAGCAGUUAAUAGGGGAUCGAGGCGUUUAUUCUUAAGAUGAACGGCCAGGUUUUCACAUCUGCUCACUAUCACCUUAUAGUGAUCGUAUAGGUUUUUCACUGAUAAGACUCUCUCAUUUCUUUUUUCUUUUUUUUUUUUUCUCUCUUUAUUUUCCCUUCUUUUUUUUCUUCUUUUUUUCUGUGAUAAUGCAUCAGGGAGGUUAUCCAAUGCCUUUGGCAUGGGGACUUCAAAAAUUCUCAAAAAAACAUUGAUCAGAAGUUCUUGAAAGGUAAAAAGGCAAAAUGAACCUUGAAUUGAAUUACAACUUUUGGAACAAAUUGUGAAAUAAAACAAACUUCUGCCCCAAUUUUGGAGUAUUGGAUUUUUUGUUCUGAUGGGACCGAACCUAGGGUAAGGUAGCCUAUGUAUCCUUUCGGAAUCAGGUCGGACGUAGUUCAAUGACUCUGAUGCUUUAUUGUUUGACUAUUUUUCUUUAUUUCUUUUUUUACAAGUACACAGGUUCUAAAAGGUGCAAAACGAAGAAGAAAAAUACAGCUCAAAUGGGUUAACAAAAUAAUGACACCUAUUUGGAAUAGUAAGCAAAUGAUAGCAUUCUUCAUCUCGAUACGAGAAAAUCAAUGUGUGAAAGUUCUACAGUGGCCAUAUAUCAUACAUAAUAUCUUUUGACCGGUAACACUUUCUUGAUGAUGUAGGGUCCUUGCCAGUUCGGUGCAAACAUUUCUUUGGCUUCAACCAGGUGCGGAAGGAUGCGUUUAAGAACUUGUUGGCCUACCUCAAAAUGCCUAGGGGGUGCACUUUAUUAAUGUAAGCACGUGUCGUUCUUUGCUGGUAUAACUAGCCAAAACACACUGCUAUUUGCCUUUUUUUAUCGAUCAACAUCAGUUGUUCUAAUCGAGUCUUGACCCACUUAGUGUCUUCAAUCUCUGAUUCCAUAAUAAUUCGGAGAGAGGGAAUUUAAACUUCAGCGGAUAUCACAACGUGAGUUCCACAUACAAGCAGAUACAAAGUCGCACCAUUGGAUGUGCGAACAGUCGUGCGGUAUCCCAAAAGAGCAAAAGGCAACUUUUCAUGCCAUUGCCUGGAACCUUGGAUCAUCUUCCUAUAAAUUAUUCUUGAUGUUCUUGUUCGCCGCUUCAAUGACUCCAUUGGCUUUUAGCCGGUAAGGGGUAGAAUGGCGAUGCAUGAUUUUAAAUUUUUCGCAUACCUCCUUCAUCAAAUGACUAUUUAGAUUGGCUGCAUUAUCAAUGAUAAUGGUCUUUGGGAUUCCAAAGCGAUAGAUGAUGCUGGAAUGAACAUCAGCCACUUGAAAGUGACAUCAUCCAGCCACUUGGUGAAGUAAUCAAUGAAUCUAUGCCUAUUUGAAGCCUUUGGCUCGAUUGGCCAAUAACAUCCAUUCCCCAAGCAACGAAAAGCUAAGGAGAGGACAUGGGAUGUAACUCUGAAGGAGGCGAGUGAAUCAAGUCACCAUGAAUCUAGUAUUGGUGACACUUGUGAAUAAAACUUAAGCAAUCUCACUCCAUAGUAAGCCAAUAUUAUCUUGCCCGCAGAAUAUUCUUCGCCAAAACAUAUCCAUUCAUGUGAGGUCCGCAUACCCCCGAAUGCACAUCGCUCAUGAUGCUCCACUUCUGUGUCAUCUAUGCAUCUCAACAAGUUUAAAUCUGGGGUUCUCUUGUACAGAAUUUCCCCAUUCAAGAAGAAACCACCGGCGAGCUUCCUUAUAGUUCUUUUUGAUCUCCUUUGGCAUGCUCUAGAUAUUCUCUUAUUUUCAGGAAUUGUUUUAUGUCCUGAUACUAUGGCUCACCAUCUGGUUCUGUCUCAAUUGUAUUGCAGUAAUCAUGUUGAUUCCAAACUUGAAUUUCUAGUGGAUCAAUAUGAGUAUUGCCUAGAUAAGGGAGCAUCGGGGCUAAAGUUGCCAAAGUAUCAGCUAGCUCGUUGUGAAACCUGGGAAUGUACCUGAACUCGAUAGAUUUGAAUCUUUUGCUCAAGUCUUGCAUAUAUUGUCUGUAUUAAAUAAGAUUGAUGUCUCGAGUCUCCUAUUCGCCCCGAGCUUGUCGGAUAAGCAAGUCGGAAUCUACCAUAACCAAUAGUUCAUGCACAUCCAGAUCGAUAGCCAUUUUCAGACCCAUGAUACAAGCUUCAUAUUCUACCAUAUUAUUGGUACAUAAGAACCAAAGUCGGGUCGUUGCAUGGUAAUGAUAUCCAAUAGGUGAGAUAAAGAUUGCCCCGAUACCAACUCCUUUAAUAUUGACAGCCCCAUCAAAAUACAUUUCCAUACAGGGUUAUCGUCUGGAACUACUUCCUCUAUUGAGUUGACCUCUUCAUCUGGGAAGUAUGUGCUAAGUGGCAUGUACUCAUCAUCAACAAUAUUCUAUGCCAAAUGAUCUGCCAAAGCCUAUGAUUUCAUUGUCGUGCGAGUGACAUAAACAAUGUCAAACUCUGUGAGGAGGAUUUGCCAUUUUACGAGCCUGUCAGUGGGUAUUGGCUUUUGGAAGAUGUACUUUAAAGGAUCCAUUCUAGAUAUGAGGUAAGUAGUGUAGGCCAAAAGAUAAUGUCUCAGCUUCUGAGUGACCCAAGUCAAGGCACAACAUGUCCUUUCUAAAUGGGUGAACUUCUUGCUCAAAUAAUAGAUUGCAUGUUCCUUUAUACAUGUUGCAUCAUGUUGCCCCAAUGCAUCCAAAGGAAUUAUCCAUCACCGAUAGAUAUAAAAACAAAGGCCUACUAGGUUUAAGUGGGACCAGUACAAGGUGUUUUGACAGAUAAUCUUUGAUUAUGUCAAGAGCUAUUUGGCAAUCGUCCGUCUACCUGAUUGCGACAUCCUUUUUCAGCAACUUAAACAUGGGCUCACACGUGGUUGUGAGCUGAUCAAUGAACCUACUGAUGUAGUUCAUCCUCCCGAGUAAACUCAUGACUUCCUUUUUGUUCUUUGGGGUGGAAGAUCAGGAAUGGACUUUAUCUUGGAUGGAUCCAAUUCGAAGCCUCUCAGACUGACUAUAAAACCGAGGAGUUUUCUAGAUGGAACCCCAAAUGUACAGUUGGCUGGAUUAGGCUUAAGUUCAUACGUUUGAAUCCAUUCGAAAAACUUUUUCAAAUUGCACACAGGAUCAGCUUGUGUCUUUAAUUUUAUGAUGACAUCAUCGACAUAUACUUCAAUCUUUUUGUGCAUCAUAUUGUGAAAAAUGGUGGUCAUGGAUCUUAUGUAAGUUGCCCUGCAUUCUUUAAAAUUGAAUGGCAUGACCCUCUAACAAUAAGUACCCCAUUGAGUGGUAAAAGCAGUAUUUUUUGCAUCAUCUUCAUCCAUUAGAAUUUGGUGGUACCUAGCGUAGCAAUACACGAACAAUUGUAUCUCAUGCUUUGAAUAAUUAUCUACAAGAAUGUAGAUAUUUGACAAAGAAAAAUUAUGCUUUGGACUUGCUUUGUUCAGGUCCCUGUAGUUAACACAAACUCGGGUCUUUCUAUCCUUCUUCAGCACAAGCACAACAUUCGCCACCCAGGUGGUGUAUCGGACAACUCUAACAACAUUAGCUCAAUUGCUUCAUUAUAUUGUCUUUAAUUUGUUACUCACGCCUGUUUUAAAUUUUUGUUGCUUUUGUUAGACUGGUGAAAAACUAGGAUACGUAGGAAGCUUAUAAACCACUAGAUUAGUACUUAAACCCGUCAUAUCAUCGUAAGACCAAGAAAACACAUCUAUGUAUUCAAACAAAAGUUGAAUCAAGGAAUUUCUGUUUUUUUGUUCAAUGUGAGUGCUUAUCUUUGUUUCUCUAACUUCUUCAUGACUUCCGAUAUUAAUUGGCGCCGUUUUAUUGAGGCUGGGCUUAGGAUUGUUUUCAAAUUGUUCCAAUUGUCUUUUUUCUUUUCUCGACAACAUCAUCUUCAUCAUAUUCAACCUUUUGAUGUAUUAUUUCGAUAUUAGAAAAAUUUUUAUGAUCUAGGUGUGAAUUAUGCAUGCAUGUCAUGUUAUUAAAGCCGGCAUUAACAAAACUAAAAUGGAAAUAAAAUAAUAGGAAUUAGGAAAAGGAAAAGAUACAAAACUUAAUAGGAAAUUGAACUGAAUUUCAUUGAAUUUGAAAGGAUAUAAGGUUAACAUCAAAACAAAACAAUCAUACUGAGAUGUUUGGAUUACAACCCUGAAAGAAACCCAAAAUACAAAAAAAAGCUACAAAAGCAACCUACUAAGACUCCUUCCUUGUGGGGAAAGGAUUUUUGCUUCCCAGUUAUUGAGCAUGAUGUCUGGGUCAAUUAGUUUCAUAUCGGCACGACUAGUGCAUUCACCAGCCUGGAUCAUUUUCACUUUAGAAAACAUCUGGCUGGGGCCAUGGCAAAUUUCAUCAAUGUUUGCAUACGUCGAGGAAUUUUGACCCUUUCAGAGUCGUGGCCUAACGAACGUGUAGAAAAUGUGAGGGAUAGGCUGUUGUAAGACCCUUCCAAGCUUUUUGCGGUGUUUGGAUUUGUUUUCAUCUUCUUGUGUUGGCCUGAAGCCUAAGCCAAAAGUACCCUGGUUACCGAACGAAAAAUUAGGCUCCGAAAUUCCUUGCAACAAUGUCCCUAAGCCUUUUCCUGGCUCAUAACAUUGUCUCAUCAUAACUAUAACCAUCAUUACAGAUGUGGCAGAAAGAUGAGGAUACAGAAUGUGCUUUCCUUCCUCGACAUGGUCCACAAUAAAAGACUAAUAUACAAUGGACUCAGACCCUUCCUUGGACUCAAUACAUGGGAACAGAUCUUUAUAAUGGAAGACUCGUCUUCCCUGUGAACAAUAAUUUCUUGCCUGUCAUGUUUGAAUUUGAGCAUCUGAUGCAAGGUUGAUGGCACAACUCAGGCUGUAUGGAUCCAUGUCCUUCCAAGAAGAAAGUUAUAUGAAGUGGCCAUGUACACUACAUUGAAGACAAUCUCAAAGUCAACCAGUCUAAUUGUCAUGGUGAGGUUGAUCUCCCAAAUGGUAUCUCUUGCUGAGCCAUCAAAAGCCUAGAUGCAAACAUUGCUGGGUCGGAUUCUAUCUGUAUUGAUCUUCAUGCUUUGCAAGGUAGAGAAAGGGCAUAUAUCUGCACUUGAGCCUCCAUCAACCAUGACUCGCUUUACAUCAUGCCCCUCAUAUUUAACCAUCAAGUUCAAAGCUCUAUUGUGCUCGGCUCUCUCCUCGGGAAGUUCAUCAUCAGUAAAGGAGAUUAUGUUCACCUUAAAAAAGGAGAUUACCUCCCUGCUUCUACCUUGUGAUGGGGUGGCCUCCAAGUACAUAUAACCUUGGGCUUGGAACACGGGAGUGAACUUCCAACCUUGAGAUUUUUGGGAUAAAUAAAGUUGCCUUCUUUGAGCUCUAGGCGCCUUUCACAAUCAAUGGCACAUCUCGGUUGGGACUUAAUUCCAGAACUGUUCCUUCUUGAAUUGCACCUACUGUCAUUUCCACUCGAUCGACCGGCUUAUAAUUUUGAUCUCGGCAAAUCAUUCCCAUAAAAUGAACAUCAAUGUGUGCUCGCAAUGGGUUGUUUAUUAUAUUAGGAUGUUCCUCGCCAUUCAUCACUACAAUCAAUUUUAUAGAAAUGAGCCUCUCUAUGGCUCUUUUCAGAGUCCAACAAUCAUCAGUGCUAUGCCCCGGGCACCCGAAUGAUAUUCACAUCUACAAUUUGCUAGAAAUCCAUAUGAAUCAGGAUGCAUAUGGUGGGGAGCGAUAAGUCCAAUCACGCCCAUUUGCUUCAGUUUAUGGAAUAGACUAAAGUAUGAUUCGUCCAAUGAAGUGAAUUUUUCUGCUGGCCUCUGCUCUCGACCAUAAUCUUGCUAGGGAGGAGCAUUAUAGGGUGCCCAAAAAUUUUGCUGCUGAGGUCGGGGGGCCCUUGGAGCUGGUGCGCAUACCUGCUAAUUGGGAGGCCGAGUAUAUGAUUGAACAUUGAACACUUUAUAUUAUGGUCGGCCCACAGAGUAUUGAGGAAUUGGCGGGGGAUAGUAAUGAACUGAACUUUCACAUAAGGGUGCGAUGCCCUUCUUUGAACUUCCUUAGAUCCUGAAACCAUCUUGGACCCUUCAUUUCUCUUCUUUUUAUUUGCCAAACCUCCCAAUCCAUUUUUGGAUAGCUUGGGUGGUGGCCUUGAGAGCAGCUUGACUUACAAUUCUACCAUUCUCGAGGCUAUUUUCGACCAUCUCCCCUAUUUUGAUUUCUUCUGCAAAAGGUCUACCCAUCGCGGACAUCAUGUUCUAAAAGUAAUCAUGCUCUUGAGCAUCCAGAAAAACAGUAAUCAACUCGUGGUUAUCCAUGGGUGGCUUAACUUUAGUGGCUUGCUCCCUCCAGUUGAAGUCAUACUCCCUAAAACUUUCGGUCAGUUUUUUUUCAUAUUAGGCAAGGAAUUAUGAUCCGGUGCAAUAUUAAUGUUGUACUGAAAUUGUUUGAUGAAGGCCUGGGCCAUGUCAUCCCAACCAUGCCAGUGAGAGAUAUCUUGGUCAGUGAACCAUUUGGAAGCUACCCCCACAAGGCUUUCCCCAAAGUAAGCCAACCCUAGAGGCAAAUGGAUGUGAGGGAACAUGCAUAGAUCACUGAAUGAUAUACUUUUUUGACCACGUAGUCCCUGUAUAUUCUUUAUAUUCUGUUAUUGACUUUUCAUUUUCUUAGCCAUCUCAUCUGGCUCAACCGUCAUGGUAGGCUUUCCAUUUCCAUUAGUGACUCGUAUUAUGGAGUCUGAUUGUAUGGAGCCGAGACUCCGAAAGCUAUAUUUGUAGAAUAGUAUUGGCCAUCAUAAGCAUGAGAUGGUGGCUCAUUGUUUGGCCUCAUCACAGGAGGUGGUGACCGAACUGUAUAUACCAGUGUGCCAGACACGACGAGAGGGGUGUUCCUGACUGGUGUGACUGGAGGUCGCAUGUUAGAGGUAUCGGGGGUAGCAAAGACACUGUUGUUUGGCACAUAACCUUGUGGUAGAAUGUGAUCGCUUGUUGCCUGGAGCGGUGUUUGAGUAGCCUUGGAUAUGGUGGAAGUUCCCUCCGAGGGACCCUAGUGUGGAGGUUGACCGAAAACCCAAGCUUGAUAUACACCUGACAGUUGCUGUCUUAAUUUUCUCAUUUCCUCCGACUCUUGCUCAACUGACUAACUCUGCGGAUUAUCACUGACCAACUCGAUUUUAUCACUAUUAUCCAUUACCAUUUCUACCUUAGAUCUUGUGAAGUAAUGAUGCGUCAAAAGUUUCACCACAAACCAACCACCUUAAGCUUACUAUAUAAGAGGCAAAUAAAUAUGUUAGGGUUAAACAUUUUACAGAUAGGAAUCACACUUAGAUAUGCUAUGCUCCUAAAAUAUCACCAUCUCUAACAUGAUUUUUGUAAGGCUUCAUGUUUCAUUUCGGCUUAUCAGCUUGUUGACUAUUGAACUGUUAUCUCUCAUUUUUUCUUCCUUUUUCUGUUUUUUUGUUUUGUUUUUUCUUUCACUCGCCUUGUUUUGAUCCCUCACUUUCGAGUCAUUUGAAAAAUAUUUGAUAGAACCUUUUGUGGGUUGACUACGUAUCAUGUUGCCGUAUGAAUUAGAUCAUUACGUAGUUCAUGUACAUGACCCUUUUUUUUGACAAAACAAACAUCUUUUUGGUUCAUUUUUGAAUUUUUCCAAACAAAAUCUUUUUCAUUGAUUUUCAAUAUAUAUAAUAAAUUUUUUUUGAUACAAGACUCAAAAACACAAGAGUUACAUAAAGAUAAACAAGACUAGACUUGACUUAAACAGAUUUUUUAGGAUAAAAGGCAAAACUACAAGACUCAAAACACCAAAAGACUCUUAUAGACACAAAAACAACAAAAGGAUAAUGAAAAAAAGACUGAUAAAUAAAAAAAGACUUUGAUCUCUGCAGUAGAAUCCACCAACAUCAAUGUAAUCAAGGUGCUUGUUCCUACGACUGACCCCCAACAUUGCGGUAUAUCCUUUCCAAGUCUUCAGAUAUAUGGUGAGCAACGUUCGAUGAUACUUCUGCAAACCGCUCGGGCAUCAUUCCCUGACAACUCUUGCAUGCUUUUGAGGUAUAUGUGGCUACCUCAAGGAUCUUUCAAUUAAUGUAUUCUUAAGCCACAUGCAAAUCUUGAUUUUGCUGACUACAUAUCUCAGCUAGAUCCAGCGCAUAGCGGUCAUGGUCCAAGGCCAUAUCUUUCUAGCACUGAACUUCAAGUGACUCCGUUUCUAACUGAUUGAUCACCUUUCGGUAGUGGUGUUUUUAUAUUUCAAACUCCACGAUUUGGCUCUCCUUACUUGACUCAACUCCCCCUAUACCUUGGAUUAAUGGAGCAAAACCUCUACACUCAUGAUCGCACACCACCUUGAACUGCUUCUCUUUCUUCUUGUUGUUGAGCGGUAGUGAUCAUUUUUUCUGCCUAAUUUAAGCUUUGAGUGCUCACCUAUCUUGUUCCUACUGAGCCUUUUCCCGCUCAAAAUCAACCUAUUAUAUGUUAAUGGCUGUCUCCGAAAUGCCCUUAUCCUCUUGUAAAAUGUUAAUAUGAGAUUGGAACUCUUGUGCCACUUCCCCUCUGGUUUCUCUAACUCUAGCCUCGAUCUCCUCGUCCCAAUCAACUGCGUGCCUUAUGGAUCUUUCUGGCCUUUGCUCGGGGAUAGCCUAGUUGUGAAAUCACUCAAGGUAUGGAUCUUUGUGCAUAUGACUCUCUUGGAGGUUCCCCUCCCCUGAAUUCCCACACGAAGAAACGCAUGUCCUCAAUCGAGGGCCUUUUUUGCGCUCUCCCUAGCUGGCGCAUGAGUCGUAAGGGCGCAUAGGGUUGGAAACCUCUAAAACCCAUGAGUAUGGAGAACGGGAGAUACGUCGACAUAUGUAUGACACUAGCAAAAAGGAACCAAUAAUAGUUCCAAGUGAUUCUAUCAGCACUUAAUGAACCAAGAAAUUUUCGCCAGGGCCUCACUCCCUCUGGAAGAUUACAACUUAUGGCCCUGUCUGGGUGACAUCCAUUGUAAUUUAACCAAUUUUUAUUGAAAUUUAUUACUAUUAGAUGAUGAUAAAGGUGAUAUAUGAACUACAUCUACAACAGAAUGUUGCAUCCCUCGAAAUAAUCUUCACCCUCUUGGCAUCGAGUCAAAGCUUGAAAAAUAUCUCCCAAAAUCAUGGGAAGAAUGGUAUGAUCCUCGCUACUUUGCAAAUACGAGACUACCGCAACUAAUCGAACUCUGAUGCGCCUACCACGUUCUGGCAAGACCAUGAUCCCUAGAAAUGAUAUCAUGAACGCAUAGAUUUUCAACUCCCUCCAAGCGUCGUAACUCAACUGGUUGACAAAUUCUAUGCCCAAGAAGUUCUCAGAUCAUUUCUCGUCCCCAAAUCUGUCAUAAAGAUAUUUCAACAGAAACCAACCUUCAUUUAAGCAAACCAUUGGAAUUCAACGGAGGCAUAACUUCUUUAAAAAGUUGUUCACACCAACUUUUCUUGGAGUGGCAGGCCUUUUCCCACGAAGGUCUCUUCCUAAUCCGGUGAACCCACCUAAUUCCUCCAAUGUAGGCAUAUUUUCACAAUCUUUGAGCCUGAAGACAUUAUUGGCGGGAUCCCAAAAACCCACUAGAGCCUCGAUUAAAUUCUGUUAGGCUUAAUUCCCAUGAUGUUUGUGAGGAACUUGAGGUGCUUAAAUACUUGAUUAUGUUCCCAUGUAGCAAAACUAGCCCACUAAUUACAGAGAGUACUCUGGGUCUUAUCUCCGGUCAAGAACAUAGGAGGUGUCUCGUUCCUUACCCUUUUCUAACAGUUUCUUUGUAGAGAACUCAUGGUGAACCUAAGAGUAAGAUAGAAGGGUCAGGACUUACCUAAACUAUAUGCAAAUUCUUAUCAUUCGUUUUUCUUUUCUUUUUUUGUUGCCAAUUUAGGAAUCGAUCUAUUUUUAUUUAUUUAUUUAUUUAUUAUUAUUAUUAUUAUUAUUAUAUAUCAUUUUUUAAUAUUACCGGACUCAAAAGUUGAGAUGAUAAAAGCAUGAAGAAUGGCUAUUACUACGAAAAUGAUCAUAGGAAUAAAAUGAUAAAAAUAGACAAAAUAAAAAAAUAAUAAAAAACAUAUAUUACUAAAAAAGGCCCUUCGGCACCCCCCGGGAGGGGCUCAAAAGUUGUCUCAGCAAAUAUAACCAGACAAAACUAGAUAAAAUGACCAUUUUUGUGAAAACUGUUGUUCAGUACUUCUGAAAAGAUUUAAAGUUGUCUCGACAAAAAAAAGGCCAGGCAUAAGGGGGAAUUGGUAAAAGGUAAAUGAAGAUGAAUAAAGUAGCACUUUUUAAAAAAAAACUGUCCCUUCAAUACUGCAAAGGAAGAUUUUAAGGUUGUCUUGGCGAAACAGCUGGAAUACAUGGGCAAAGCAGUAAAAAGGUGACCAAAAUAGAUUUUUUUUUGCUUUUUUUUCAAAAAAAUUAUGCACAUGCAGAAUUUUAUGCUCCUUUUUUGAAAAGUAUGAGCUGAACUCGAUGGAGAUUGCCUACGUAUCUCACAUCCAGUGAGAAACAAACCCGUGUAGUUCGAUAAAAUUAGAUACUUUCCCCAUUUGUUCCUUUUUAAUGAAAAUUAAUCUUUACAACCCACACCAGACUACUACAAAAUCUUUUUUUAAAAGGUUUAUUUGCACUAAGCUAGGAGAAUUAUUCCUUUUUUUUUCAUUUUUUUUCAUUUUUAAUAAUUACACUAAUUCUUUUUUAAAGUCGGUCGAAAAUGUAAGUAAGCCUUCCAAGUAAUGUAUCAAGUAGCACAUAAGUGAACAUGAUGGUCUCAAAGAGGAUAUCUGUUUAUACAGACUCGGCCACUGUGCCGAGUUUCGCUAAGUCAAAUGCACGUAAAGCGAACCUACUAGGGAUAUCCGGAACGAGGUUUUUUCUUCUAGGUUUAAAUUCUGGCGGAGAAGGUAUCUAGACUGGCUUACUCGAGCGGACAACUCGAGCCGAGGAGGGUCGGUGUACCUGUAGCAUUGCAUUCCGGCUUAACUGGUAGUACUCCCUGCCUAAAGUAUAUGUGACUAAAAUUCUUCACCGGGUGACAAGCACCUCGGCUAUCUAAAAAAAAAGGCUAUGUCAAGCAAAUGCCCAAUUUAAUUUCAAGAAGACUCAAAGGGGGUGCGCUAGAAAAUAGUGUAUAUGUACAGUUCAACAAUAUCAAAACGGUAAGAAUCGAACAAGUAGCACAUUGCACAAAUAAAUCAUAAUAUAUAUGAAAUUAAUAAAGCCAAAUAAAAAGUUAACAUGUACAAGCUCGAAUUCUAGUUAUUCUCCAGCGGAGUCGCCAAAGCUAUCAAACCCCUUUUCUACCCCCACAAAAAAAAAUAGUUACGGAUUGUUGUCUUGAUUUGUGGGUUAAAGAGUUUUUCCAAUUAAAGUGACAAAUUUGAGUAGAGAUUAUUUUAUUUACAGAGUCGCCACUUGGAAUAGAUUUGGGUAUUCCAAGUCACCUUUUAUUUUGGUCCAUGUUUUGGGCCAAUUGUGCUUUAAAACCAACAAAAUCAAUCCAUAUAAACCCCAUCACUCAUUAUUUAAGAACUCUAAUUCUAAGAUCUACAAACACACAAAACAAAUCUAAAAAAAGGUAUAAUGUAGGAGAAAAGAAAAAAGUAAAAAUUAGGUAUUUACACCAUAUGACUUGGCACCACUUGGAAUUGAUAUUUUUGGUAUUCCAAGUCACCAUUCAUUUUAAUCCCUAUUCAAAGGAAGGUUUGACUAUUUUUUUAUCGGUCCGCGAAAAUAAAGUUCGGGUAAGGAAUUCUGUUGACCGAGAGCAAGUCAUUCUCCGAGUCCCGUGGUUCUAGCACGAUCGCUUUAUUGACUUAAAUUUGGCUUAAAUUAAUUUGGACAAACUGUAAUUUAUAUGAUUUUCAUAUUUUACCUAUCCGCUUUUAAUCUCUUGAUUGUUAGAAUUAUUAAAAAAUAUUUUGGUAAUAAGAUGUUAUAAUCACACUAUGCAGGCGAAUGCGUGAUCAAAACGAAAUUUAUUGAUUUAGUCAUAACAUCGCUAAGCGAAUCCAUAGACUUGACAAAGAAUUAUUAACACGUUAUUACAUUUAAGAGAAAGAAUUUUUUUUGUGAAAUUCAUUAAAUGUCAACUACCAUGUUAAUGCAAGCGAAUCCACGAUUAUAGCAAGGGAUUAAUUAAGAAUUAAUUAGUCUAUUGAGAUUAUUGAACUAAUUUAAUAAAGGUUAAAUAUCACGCUACACAAGUGAGUUCAUGAAUAAAAAGGGCUAAAGCGCAUCUACUACUUGCCCAACAUUUAAACUAAUUAUCAAAAAGACUAAGUUAUGAAGUUAUUUAAUUAUAAAAAAAAAAUUGAUUAUUAAUUGGCGAAAGAAACUAUGUACAUGAAAGUUAGGCCGUAGCUUGUGGUAAAUUUGGGCCAACUAGUGAACUAGAUUAUUAUUGUAUUAGCGGGCCAAAAUUCAUUAAAAAAAAGAAAAGAAAAUGUGGACUAUCAACUUUACUACACAAUUCUUUGGGUCCGGUAGAUUCUUCAAUUAUUCUCGUACCUAUACAGCCCAUUAACAAUUACAUAAUCUUUUACCAAAUCCUUCAAGCACAAACACGUCCAGUUAGAAAUUCAUGCCCAUUUCCUUACUUAACUCCACCAUUCUAAUAAUAUUUUAUUGUUUUGAUAAGUUAACAAGGAUUAAAGGGAAAAACUUCUCUAUUGUGGCAUUAUAAGAAAUGGAGGAGAUAAACAAAAAUUAAACUUAUCAAUUACUACCAAAGCAUAUGACAAACUAAAGAAAGUUCAUGGCCUCCACAUUGUAAUCCAAUAUAGCAAUGGAAGAACAUAAAAUAAAAACAACAACAAAUAAUGUAACUAACAUAGCAAAAGUUUUUUUUUAAAACAAAAGAUGCAUCCACAAUUUUAGUUGCAUCCGAAAAUCAGUUCUUUUAUUACUAUACGCAAUUCUCUACUUGCACAUGAACAUGGAUAACAACAAAAGGAUAAUCUUACUCUCCAUAUGCACGCGUCAUUGAAACACUCAUUUCUUCACUAAAUCACAACAAUCAUGCUCAAAUAAUAGAGGCCGGUUAGCACCUUCAACACUCGACAUCGAAAAUCUGCAUUACAAUAAAUUUAAAAGUUACAUGAAUAGCAGAAAAUCAAAAUACAACAAAGAUGGAACUCCGGAUGUUUAGUUGUAGAUUUUUCUCAAAGUUUUGUCUUUUUAUUAGAGUGUUAAGGAUGUUCAAGUUCUCUUUUUUUUUCUUCUUGUGUCUCCAGGAUGUUCAAAAACUAUCCCCCUUAAUUGAAAGAAAGAUCUCCUCUUUAUAUUAUAGGAGAUGAGGGACAGGAUUUCAUUAUGAAAAUCUGUUCUUUAGACAUAAUCUUUACCAAAAAUUUGUCUAAACUAUUCAAAGGAUAGAUUUUUGGUUAAAAAUCUGUCUAAGACACAACGUUUUUACCAAACAAUGACAUGCAUUUUGGAAAUUAGUACUCAAAAAGUCUUUGAACAGUAGAAAGUGAUCAAAUAUGUACCCUAUACUCAAGUAUUCAACCUUUGUUUUCAACACAUGACUAAAAUAUAGCUUAUAUACUCAAACUCAAACCAACUAUAAACUAGCAAAACAGAAACAAGACUUAAAAUGUAAUUGAACUAAAUAUUCAAAAAAACUAAAAUAAAGCCAAUCGAUUUAUGGGAACUAAACAGUAGAUAAUUGUAAUCAGGAAACACUACCUAAAAUACAACUUAAAUGAAUAUUGAUAAGCUAUCUAACAACGACUAUUAUUAACUUAAACAAUGACUAAUUAAACGACGAUUCAACGACAUUAAGAUCAAUUUGGUCGAUGAAAAAUUAAUAAACAACUAGGCUAAAUAUAAUCAUCAAUCACACUAUUGAUCAAAACGAACAAAACAAAAAGAAAAAAUUCAGAAACUAAAAGAAAAAUAAAAAGAGUUAGGGGUUGUACAAAACGAAACAAGCCGACUCUCCUCAAAUCUCAAGGGCAAUGUAAACCGCAACAAAUUAACCGCUCGAGCACUGGGAAAUACAACUUUCAGCAAAUCAUGCCAAAGAGAAAAUAGUGUUGGGAGGGGGUUAUAUUACACACAAAAGAAGAGUUUCAGGGGUCGUUUGGGUGGUGGAGCAGCGGUGGUUGGAUGUCGGCAGUGAGGGUGGUGACAGAACAGAUUUUGGGGGUUAAAUUAAAGGGAAAGUGUAGAUCUCCUAGAGAUAUACACGUAUAUAUGAGGCUUGUGAGGUGUGGAUAAUUGGUAUGUCACUAAUUUGAGGAAAAAAAGUAAAAAUAGGGGGGCUAGGGAUUCAGAUUUGGCUAGAUUUGUGGAAUUUGAUAAGGAUUUUGGAGAUUUGGGAUUUGGACAUGGAAAGAAGAGGAGGAGACAAAGAAAUGGUGAAAAAAUAGGGUCGAUUGGAGGCCGUUUGCCGGCAGUGGAGAUUUCCGGCCGACGGAAUAGGGGCGGCGGGUGACGGGUGGUUCUUGUGAGAGAGGAGAGAGUAAAUAGAGGAGUGAAAUAGAUAAUAGGGAAAAA